rnacentral:rRNA from 1 species
CGCUAGCUACAGGCUUAACACAUGCAAGUCGAGGGGCAGCAUGGUCUUAGCUUGCUAAGGCCGAUGGCGACCGGCGCACGGGUGAGUAACACGUAUCCAACCUGCCGUCUACUCUUGGACAGCCUUCUGAAAGGAAGAUUAAUACAAGAUGGCAUCAUGAGUCCGCAUGUUCACAUGAUUAAAGGUAUUCCGGUAGACGAUGGGGAUGCGUUCCAUUAGAUAGUAGGCGGGGUAACGGCCCACCUAGUCUUCGAUGGAUAGGGGUUCUGAGAGGAAGGUCCCCCACAUUGGAACUGAGACACGGUCCAAACUCCUACGGGAGGCAGCAGUGAGGAAUAUUGGUCAAUGGGCGAGAGCCUGAACCAGCCAAGUAGCGUGAAGGAUGACUGCCCUAUGGGUUGUAAACUUCUUUUAUAAAGGAAUAAAGUCGGGUAUGCAUACCCGUUUGCAUGUACUUUAUGAAUAAGGAUCGGCUAACUCCGUGCCAGCAGCCGCGGUAAUACGGAGGAUCCGAGCGUUAUCCGGAUUUAUUGGGUUUAAAGGGAGCGUAGAUGGAUGUUUAAGUCAGUUGUGAAAGUUUGCGGCUCAACCGUAAAAUUGCAGUUGAUACUGGAUAUCUUGAGUGCAGUUGAGGCAGGCGGAAUUCGUGGUGUAGCGGUGAAAUGCUUAGAUAUCACGAAGAACUCCGAUUGCGAAGGCAGCCUGCUAAGCUGCAACUGACAUUGAGGCUCGAAAGUGUGGGUAUCAAACAGGAUUAGAUACCCUGGUAGUCCACACGGUAAACGAUGAAUACUCGCUGUUUGCGAUAUACGGCAAGCGGCCAAGCGAAAGCGUUAAGUAUUCCACCUGGGGAGUACGCCGGCAACGGUGAAACUCAAAGGAAUUGACGGGGGCCCGCACAAGCGGAGGAACAUGUGGUUUAAUUCGAUGAUACGCGAGGAACCUUACCCGGGCUUAAAUUGCAGAUGAAUUACGGUGAAAGCCGUAAGCCGCAAGGCAUCUGUGAAGGUGCUGCAUGGUUGUCGUCAGCUCGUGCCGUGAGGUGUCGGCUUAAGUGCCAUAACGAGCGCAACCCUUGUUGUCAGUUACUAACAGGUUCCGCUGAGGACUCUGACAAGACUGCCAUCGUAAGAUGUGAGGAAGGUGGGGAUGACGUCAAAUCAGCACGGCCCUUACGUCCGGGGCUACACACGUGUUACAAUGGGGGGUACAGAGGGCCGCUACCACGCGAGUGGAUGCCAAUCCCAAAAACCUCUCUCAGUUCGGACUGGAGUCUGCAACCCGACUCCACGAAGCUGGAUUCGCUAGUAAUCGCGCAUCAGCCACGGCGCGGUGAAUACGUUCCCGGGCCUUGUACACACCGCCCGUCAAGCCAUGGGAGCCGGGGGUACCUGAAGUGCGUAACCGCGAGGAGCGCCCUAGGGUAAAACUGGUGACUGGGGCUA